rfam:Naegleria gruberi genomic scaffold NAEGRscaffold_40, whole genome shotgun sequence.
UCGGGUGUGGUAUAGUGGUAGCAUUCCAGACUGUCACUCUGGCGACCCGGGUUCAAUUCCCGGCACUCGAG